rfam:Gossypium arboreum cultivar AKA8401 contig_23435_1, whole genome shotgun sequence.
AACCCAUUGUGAGGGUACCUUCUCAAUAAAUCUUUGUAUCUCUCCCAUGCAUCAUAUAAAGUCUCUAAAUCGAUCUGAACAAAGGAAGAAAUCUUAUUCCUUAACUU